UGAGGAAUAUUGGUCAAUGGGCGGGAGCCUGAACCAGCCAAGUCGCGUGAAGGAAGAAGGAUCUAUGGUUCGUACACUUCUUUUGCAGGGGAAUAAAGUGCAGGACGUGUCCUGUUUUGUAUGUACCCUGAGAAUAAGGAUCGGCUAACUCCGUGCCAGCAGCCGCGGUAAUACGGAGGAUCCGAGCGUUAUCCGGAUUUAUUGAGUUUAAAGGGUGCGUAGGUGGUUUGAUAAGUCAGCGGUGAAAGUUUGCAGCUUAACUGUAAAAAUGCCGUUGAAACUGUCGGACUUGAGUGUAAAUGAGGUGGGCGGAAUGCGUGGUGUAGCGGUGAAAUGCAUAGAUAUCACGCAGAACUCCGAUUGCGAAGGCAGCUUACUAAGCUACAACUGACACUGAAGCACGAAAGCGUGGGGAUCAAACA
rnacentral:rRNA from 1 species